GAUGAACGCUGGCGGCGUGCCUAAUACAUGCAAGUCGAGCGAACAGAUAAGGAGCUUGCUCCUUUGACGUUAGCGGCGGACGGGUGAGUAACACGUGGGUAACCUACCUAUAAGACUGGGAUAACUUCGGGAAACCGGAGCUAAUACCGGAUAACAUUUUGAACCGCAUGGUUCAAAAGUGAAAGACGGUUUUGCUAUCACUUAUAGAUGGACCCGUGUCGUAUUAGCUAGUUGGUAAGGUAACGGCUUACCAAGGCGACGAUGCGUAGCCGACCUGAGAGGGUGAUCGGCCACACUGGAACUGAGACACGGUCCAGACUCCUACGGGAGGCAGCAGUAGGGAAUCUUCCGCAAUGGGCGAAAGCCUGACGGAGCAACGCCGCGUGAGUGAUGAAGGUCUUCGGAUCGUAAAACUCUGUUAUUAGGGAAGAACAAAUGUGUAAGUAACUAUGCACGUCUUGACGGUACCUAAUCAGAAAGCCACGGCUAACUACGUG
rnacentral:rRNA from 1 species